AUGUAUUUUUAUAUAGUUAAAUUAAUUUUAAAAAUAUAACACCAACGACAUUAUAAUAUAAAACAAACUUCGCUUCUGAGCAUCCUUCAAUAUUACAGAUUUUUCAACAUAUUAUAUUUUACAAAUAUAUAUAUGAUUCAUUCAAGCCAUAUUUUUUUACUUAUUUUAAUUUAAAGUAUCCAUACUUUAAUCAUUUUUCAUCAUCCGACAUCAACCAGUUCAGACUAAAAGAAAGUGCUCGGAAAAGAUCAGUAAUGAAUGUUCACCUAAAUCAAAAUACAUGGGACCAAGAUGAAGCGGCCUCAUCUAUCACUGCCUACUAGUUUCAAGUACUAUCAAAUACGUGCUUACAGAUAUAGCUGGAUUCUUCAACUAGCAACAUUAUCAUAUCUAUUAUCUUGGAUUUGUGUUCAGUUGUGGCACACACUCACAAAACAUAUGACAACAUUUAAACAUAUGACGACAACAACAACAUCUAUAUUGUAAAGCAUUGUGAGCUUAUUUUUAAUUUUCGUGUAUCGAUACGAAAUCUCAAGCUUUCCUGUCACUUAAAACUUCAAAUAUAAAUUAAUAAAAUAAACCUACAAAAACUCACCGUAAUAAUGUAUUAUUGUGUUUAUAAUAAAUAUAUCAAGUCUAUAAUUUCCCUAGACAUUUUUAUGGGAGGUACUUCUGUGCUUUUAAUAUCCAUAAUUUGAGCUGGUCCGUAAAGUUUUAUUUGGAUACCAUAUUUUGUUACAAACAAAGUUAAUACAGUUAAAUGUUAAUUAUAGUACAUAUAUAAUAAAGUUUAAUUUUAACUUUUAAGUCUUCUCCCACAUAAAUUUGUGUAAAUAAAAAUCUAACUAAAUUGUAGUAAUCGUUGUAACAUUCAUAUAUCCAGGAACUUUCACGAUCAUUGUUGAUAACAAUAUUUUUAUUUUUGAAAACUUACAGGUAUUUCAUUAUUUGCCAACUGUUAAGUUAAUUUAAGAGGACACAAAAUCGAUAAUUUAGCUAACAGUAAACAAAUCAUAAAUUUUAUUCGAUAAGUUAAAAAUUAAUACCUCGUAAAUAUAAACUAACCUCAAUUUUAAAAAAAGUUAAGCUACUUUUGUCAAUUGGAAUGUGAUCGCAUAAAUAGUGACUUCUCUCUAAUUUCCUAAAUUAUAUUAAACAAUUUUAUUGAACUUUUAUCAUAAUGUACAUUGUACAGUGUAUACCUAUACUACC